rnacentral:rRNA from 1 species
UACGUAGGGUGCGAGCGUUGUCCGGAAUUAUUGGGCGUAAAGAGCUCGUAGGCGGUCUGUCGCGUCGAUCGUGAAAACUUGGGGCUUAACUCUGAGCUUGCGGUCGAUACGGGCAUGACUGGAGUUCGGCAGGGGAGACUGGAAUUCCUGGUGUAGCGGUGAAAUGCGCAGAUAUCAGGAAGAACACCCGUGGCGAAGGCGGCUCUCUGGGACGGUACUGACGCUGAGACGCGAAAGCGUGGGGAGCGAACAGG